rnacentral:rRNA from 1 species
CAGUCGCCACGGGAAUACGGAGGGGGCUAGCGUUGUUCGGAAUUACUGGGCGUAAAGCGCACGUAGGCGGCUUGGUAAGUUAGAGGUGAAAGCCCGGAGCUCAACUCCGGAAUUGCCUUUAAGACUGCCGAGCUAGCAGGUGAGAGAGGUAAGUGGAAUUCCGAGUGUAGAGGUGAAAUUCGUAGAUAUUCGGAAGAACACCAGUGGCGAAGGCGGCUUACUGGCUCAUACUGGACGCUGAGGUGCGAAAGCGUGGGGAGCAAACAGGAUUAGAUACCCGGGUAGUCCCUGUCUCUUAUAC